GUUCGGAUGGCCCCACAGCGCCUGCCUGCUGUGGGCACGGGGGGGGGGGGGGGGGGGGGGGGGAAUGGAAGAACCUGUGCCCCCAGGAGGUGGUACAAGUUGAAGACAUAGUUAGGUUCCCGAUAAAGGUUCAGACUGAUGCACACGUGACCAGUUUACAGGAUUUUCACAGGGAUCCAGCAAUUACCAGUGUCAGGGGCCGGCGUCCAGAAAAGCCUCACUGCAGGACAGCGACUGUGCACAACUGAAGUGGUUGCCCUGCUGCUUUGUGGAGAGAAGAAAAGGAAGAAAAGUGAGGCGUGUGAACAAGGCGCGUAAUGGAGGUUUUCGGAGUCGUAGGCUGGCGGCGUACUGGUUUUGUUCUGGAACAGUCCACACGGGUAUAUUAGCCAGCCACUUCUGUUUUUCCUUCUAUGCCCUCCCUUCCCAAGUAAGUGCUUGGCUCGUACAGGGAAGAGAUGUGAGUUAGAAAGAAAAGGAUGGGGUUUCUUGGACUUUGGUGUUUUCUUGGAGCCCUGCUGUCUUCUUCCCCUGUUGAGGGGGGCCUCUCAAGGGUGUCCCUGUCCCCAAACACUCAGGGGAGGUGUAGCAGGCGUGAGCCUGACUAGACUCUGGGGAGGCUGGUCCCCUGGGGCUCUGUGCUUAUGCAUCAGGGAUGAAUGAACAGGGCAGCUGCCAGGGUGGGCAUGCAUGUUGCAUAAUCUCUGCCCAUGUGCAUGCCGCAUGGCCCUGCAGGACUUCGCUCACAAAACACAAGUUCAAGGAUAAAAUUAUGAGGAACUUCAAGAGGGCGACCACGAAGCAUUGAACCAGGCGCGGGGCCCUCGUGAGCACAGGGCCCUGGGAAACUACCCAGACUGAUGGCCCGUGAAGUCGCCCUGCACCCAGACCACUAAGUGCACCCAGACCACUAAGCCCUGGAAACCACGAGGCAAGACGCUAGAGGCCACCACUGGUACCCCGAGGAUGGGAGAGCCGAGAGCCGAAGGAGCUUGGCUUCCUGACAUCAUUGAACCUCGGGCUUUAAUCCCCUGGGAGCUUGCUGGCCUUCUUAUCACCUGAGAUAACAAUGUCUUGUUCUUAUAGCCGGCGUGAGCUGCGUUUUGUUACUUGCAGUUGAAGUAUCCUAAUGUGUGUGAGAGGCGUUGCAUCUGCAAGGAGCCACUGCCAUCCUGCUUUACUUCCUGUAUCUACCUGGCGGCGUGUCCCUGUCCCCUGCCGUUGGCAGAGGUGGAUACAUAAAACUAGG
rnacentral:lncRNA from 1 species